rnacentral:rRNA from 1 species
AUUGAACGCUGGCGGCAGGCCUAACACAUGCAAGUCGAGCGGAGCGGCUGACGGGUGAGUAAUGCCUACGAAUCUGCCUGGUCGUGUGGGAUAACGUCCGGAUACGGGCGCUAAUACCGCAUACUAUCAGAUUAGCCUUGGUCGGAUUAGCUAGUUGGUGGGGUAAAGGCCUACCAAGGCGACGAUCCGUAACUGGUCUGAGAGGAUGAUCAGGCAAACGGGAACUGGUAAACGGUCCAGACGCCGACGGGGGGCAGAAGUGGGGAAUAUUGGACAAUGGGCGAAAGCCUGAUGCAGACAUGCCGCGUGGGUGAGGAAGGUCUUCGGAUUGUAAAGCACGUUAAGUUGGGAGGCGUUAACAAAAGAAUAAGCAACGGCUAACUUCGUGCCAGCCGCCGCGGUAAUAC